rnacentral:rRNA from 1 species
CCUACGGGAGGCAGCAGUGAGGAAUAUUGGUCAAUGGACGAGAGUCUGAACCAGCCAAGUAGCGUGAAGGAUGACUGCCCUAUGGGUUGUAAACUUCUUUUAUAAAGGAAUAAAACGAGGCACGUGUGCCUUUUUGCAUGUACUUUAUGAAUAAGAAUGGGUUAAUUCCGUUCAAGCAUCCGGGGUAUUACGGAGGAUCCGACCGUUAUCAGGAUUUAUUGGGUUUAAAGUGAGCGUAGAUGGGUUGUUAAGUCAGUUGUGAAAGUUUGCGGCUCAACCGUAAAAUUGCAAUUGAUACUGGCAGUCUUGAGUACAGUUGAGGUAGGCGGAAUUCGUGGUGUAGCGGUGAAAUGCUUAGAUAUCACGAAGAACCCCGAUUGCGAAGGCAGCUUACUAAACUGUGACUGACAUUGAUGCUCGAAAGUGUGGGUAUCAAACAGGAUUAGAUACCCCUGUAGUC